UCAGAGACUCAUGUGCACGUUUGUAGAGCUUGUAUCAGAUGUCCUUGCAAGUCUAUCUUAAUCUCAAAUAUUGAGUAAUGAAAGAUAGUGAGAGCAUUUCCUGUAAGUGUUCAUUUUCAAUGACUUGUUUCGUCAUAUUUGUCCUUUGUUAAAGGGGUAAUCUCUCCUGAAAAGAUAUGUUUGUAAUCAAACAUUGGAUAGCAUUAUGUAUUUUGUCACAUCUAAAAAAGUUGGCUGGGGUGUACCGAUUCCAUGGAACAUGGUUUAUGAACUGAUACAUAAAAUGACGCUGGAUUAAAAACUUUGAGUUUUUCAAUUUAAAUUAUUAUACAAGAUGAUUGCAAACAGUAGAGUGUAAUAUAUAUGGGCAAUACAACCAUCCCAGCUCUGCAAAAUUUGGUGCGUAGAGACAAUCAUUAGAUCACUUAUUUUUGGUUCUCCCCAUAUGUAUUUUGUUUUUGGUCACACGUUCAAGAAUGGCUGAAGAAUUGCAACAUUUACCUGGAGCUACCUCUGCAAAUAGCACUGCUGGGUGAUUUAAAAAGUCAUAGUCAAUCAAUCAAUAAUAUAAUAAUACAUACUCUUAGCUAAAUGUUUAUCUUUAAUGUACAAUCUGUAGAAACUAUGGGAAUAGAAAGAUUCAGAACCUUCUGAAAACGUCACAGCACAGUUGAAAAUAUAUGGCAAAUAGAAAUGAAAACAUGAUGCUCUUCAGAGAUAGAUGGGGGGAGUUUUGAGUAGCUUAAUGGUGGGACAGAAAGAGAUAACUAAUGUAAAAUGUUUAUAUUUUGUGUAAGCUGGAAGUAGAGUUGUCCAUUAGUUUACUCCAGUUUGGGGUGGGGUGGUAGGCUUAGGGGAAAAUAAUAGAGUAAGAAAAUACACUGCUCAAAAAAAUAAAGGGAACACUUAAACAACACAAUGUAACUCCAAGUCAAUCACACUUCUGUGAAAUCAAAUUGUCCACUUAGGAAGCAACACUGAUUGACAAUAAAAAAGUAGCGGAAGUAGCGGUCCUGCUGCUGGGUUGUUGCCCUCCUACGGCCUCCUCCACAUCUCCUGAUGUACUGGCCUGUCUCCUGGUAGCGCCUCCAUGCUCUGGACACUACGCUGACAGACACAGCAAACCUUUUUGCCACAGCUCGCAUUGAUGUGCCAUCCUGGAUGAACUGCACUACCUGAGCCACUUGUGUGGCAUCUUAGUACAUACUCUGCUGUUCUAUUGUGUGGGUAAUAAUGUUUAAUGAUGUCUGAUGAUUUUGUCUUUGUUGUUUGAAUGAAUGUCUUUGCUGUAAAUCGCAAACUGAAGUGGCAGUUUCACCUCUAUGGAUUCCAACUUUCAGGUCAGGGUCAGAAGGAGACAUAAACUGGGUACUGGAUGGAGAGGUUGAGACAUGACUAGAGGAGGGGUGUGGUCUGAGGAGGAAGAAAGAUACAGUUCCUAGUAAUAUGUAUUCUGUAGAACUAUGAUAGGUUAAUAAUUUGCCACCUUAACUGGACAAACUGUAUAAAAGAGACACUCAGCGCUCUCAUGUGUACACUUUCUCCCAGAGAAGAAACUUUCUCCCAGAGAAGACACUUUCUCCCAGAGACGUCUGACACUCCAGAACAGAGGAAGAACACAACAUCACUGGUAAAGAAAUGACUUCCAAUCAAGAGUUCUGAUGUGAAUAUGAGUAUGUCUGUUUGUUACUUUAAAGGGCAGGGUGGUGUUAGAAUAAUAGGUUGCACACUUGCUCCACUAGCCCCAUAACACCUGAUUCAGAUGACCAAAGGAUCAUAGUCUUCAAUUUAGAUCAAAAUUCAUGUUAAACUGAGCAAAACAGAUAUGUGAUCAAUGCUGUUCUCUAGGGGGCGUUGUUACCACUCCUGGUCUAUGUGAUUAUGUGUUGUAGUGUUUCUUUUUCAGUUAACUUAUGAAUUAAUAUAUUUGUAUAAUUAAUAAUUUGACUCAGCCGAGCCCAUGUUUCUGUUUUAGUAUCUGUUCAGGGCAUUUUUCGUGCAUCCUUGAAGUCAUCAUUUUGAUAAGCCAUGUUUCCCCUUUAGAACACCUGGAGAAAAUGCUUAAAAAAGCUAGCCGUUAAUUAUUUCAUAUUUUAUACUUAUCAAAUGUCCUGGUCUUUGGUGUAUUUAGUGUCGUUUCUUGCUUCAUAUGAGGUGUUGACCAAUUUCACUAUUUAUUCUUACUUUACAGACACUUGUCUCCAACUACACAAAAUGGCUUCUAAAUACAUCACAGAUAUUGCAAUCUCCACCAGCAUUAAAAAGGAGCAACAGCUUCGUGGGCAAGGCUUUCACAUGAUGGAUGUCAACCUCAACCAAGGCAAUUUAUCCACCACCAUAAUUUACAUGUGGUACAAAAAGGGCAAUGAAGAACCCAUCACCAGAGUCCAGUUUUCAUUCACUGAGGAAAUGAAAGAUGGCCCGAGGAGUGCAGGGUACACUGAGCUUCCCGAAGACCUCAACUUUGGAGCAAGGGGAGACACCAUCCAGCUGUGGUACUCUAGUGGUGCAAGCCCUAAGUACGACAUUCCCAUUGUAGAUCUCCUACUCACCACUAAUGUGAAUGCAGAGGCCGCUCAAUUCAAACACGGCUGGGAAAGGCUACCGUGUGAUCUGAACCGCGGUAACUCAGGAGAUUACAUCUACCUCUGGGUGAAGAGAGAGAGUGUGACCUACAUCUGCGAUGUUGCUGCCACCACCUCAUUCCAAGAAGACAUCAACCUUUUCAACGAGGGCUACAUCCGGAUGGAUGAAGAUCUCAAUAGAGGUGCUGGAGGAAACUGGAUCUUCCUCUGGUAUCGCCAAUCCACCGAUAAGGGCUGCGGGCUCACCAAGGUGAAUGUGUCCGUCAACCAUGAGCAGGAUUUCAGCCUACAGCAGCGCGGUUUCUCCGUGGUGAAUGUUAACCUCAACGAGGGAACAUCCGGUCAGCCAGUGUUUGUCUGGCUGAAGAAAGAUGGAUCUCACCCUAUCAAGGCCUUGACCGUUACAUCCAACCACAAGGCAGAUGGUCCUUAUGAGGAGGCCGGCUUGGUUGUCAUUGAAAAAAGUCUGAAUACUGGCAACAACGGUGUGCCCGUCUUCCUCUGGUAUGGCAAGUAAAAACCUGAGGUGGAGAGGAAGUGUCAGACUAAAAAUGUGCAAGAUGCUAGCUUGUGCAUGGAAAUUUCUCUGUCUAUUUUCUGUAAAAAAAAAUAUUAUUAUCUUUCCAACCAAUUUUAAUAAUUAAAUGUAAUAAUUAAAUGACACUAAAUGUUAGCUUUCGUGUCAUAAAGUCACUGUCAUAGAUCAUUAAGGAAUGUUUUCAGGUUGACUUUAAUGUUCUUUCCAAUCAAUUCACAAUAAUUAUGUUAUUCAGUUUUACUAUAACAUUUUAGCAGCAGAUUUAACUUUUGUAUGAAUAUUUCAAGGGGUUGUAAGGUAUGAUGUCUCAUUGUGUCAAAUGUGACUUUGGAAAAGCUUUAGUACAGCAAUAGAAAUAAAGUCAAAUGAUGAUUUCUGUGUAACACUGAGAAUCCCAGUCUGUUCAUCAAUAAAGAAAGCUUUACAAAUCUGAAUGUUGUACCUUUUUAAUAACUCCCCAGUGAAAAUCUCACUUUUAAAAGUUCCUUUUCUAUUAACUCAUGUCCAAAUGAUGUUGUUGACUCGUCUUAUACUCGUAUUUGUGGCCAAAGAGAGGGACUGUAAGACGGUGGGUGUCAAAGGUCACAAGAGUGGAAGGUCAUGGGUCGAUGUGUUAAGGAGUAGGGUGAUGUUGACCCUAGAAACUGAUCUUUGGUCAAUUUUGCACUUACGAUUGGGGAAGGGGAAGCUGAUCCUAGAUCUGUACCUAGGGGAAACUUCACCCCAGACUGUGUGUUCAGGAGGAUGUGGGGGUCAUCUGUUGUUUAGAAUGGGAUACGUGGGUGGAGGGAACGGUGUGUAGAAGCACUUCCUGUGGACGAUGGAGGAUCCAGCCUCUGGGUUUUCAUCCUUACUGAUCCACAUCUGCAGGAAGGUGGACAGGGAGGCCAAGAUGGAGCCACCGAGUACACUGACUGGGAGCAAUUAUCUACACAGGGGGAGAUGAGAGGUUAAGAGAAGGAGGUUUCAUAAGUCUGAAAAUUAUAUAUUUUGAAUAAUUAUUAUAUAUAAUUAUUUUUUUUACAUUUGAUCGUUUUCAUGUUUUUUUGUUAUUAUAAGAAGGAGCGAAAAUGGCAAGUGUCCAAUUCCAGAAUAUCAUUACAAUGAAUGAACAAAUCUUUGAAGCCCACACACACCUGCUUUACGUCGUAGCCAGACACACCAACACAACGUCGCUACAGUAACGUGUGUGUUUCGUUGGCAUGCUCUCAGCCAUUUACCUUGAUCUUCAUGGUACUGGAGACCAGGGCUGUGAACUCUUUCUGCCUGUGGUCAACGAUACCAGGGUACAUGGUGGUUCCACCAGAUAUGACAUUGUUGGCUUACAGGUCCUUACAGAUGUCAGUGUUUGUAGUAUUUAUUUUAUACAGUAUUUUCUUCUCAUCUUUAUCAAGGGUGGCAAUAAUGUUGGACCUAACUAUAUAUAAAAAAAAACAUGAGCUGGCGCACGCCCAGAAUAAUAGUUUGUGGAGGUGCUGACUAACGGCCAAUAAACUAUCAAAAGAAAGAAAGUCGAAACACUAUGUAUAAUCUCCCAACAAUUUAAUGGGUAUUUACCAACGUUUCGGCAUCACUGUGCCUUUCUCAGGGUAAUAUCAUGAAUCCUUGAACCAGGUUAUGUAGACACACAGUGCAAUUAGUGUAACCAAUGACAGUGGUGAGGGGUGUCUCGUAAUGAUUAAGUUAAAAUUAAUUAGUGAAACUGUUAAAAAAAUUGUUUAUGGCAUAUUAAAUAUUACGCUAUUGUUAUCAUAUAGAAACAUAAUGGAAUAUUGUACAUCAUAUUAGCAUCAACAUACAUUUUUUCAUUCAAUUUCACAUAAUAAUUUAAUAUUUAAUUUGUUACAUAUAAUCUUUUGGUUCAACCUUAAUAUAUAAUGAACAUCAUCAACAGGGGGAACAUAUUAGGUGUACGAUAAUAAGCUGUAAAAAUAAUCUCUCAAUUUAUUAGACUUGUUCUUAAAGGAAAAUGUGUUCAUAAGAAGGGGCUGAGAUCAAAGUCAAAAUUCAGACCACUAGGGGUCAAUGUUUUUAGAUAGGAUAUCCAGUAAUCUUUGCAAAUUAACUCAAUAAAAGGACUCAGGGAGAGGCGAAGGUCGAGAGCCAUGCGUCCUCCGAAACACAACCCAACCGCACUGCUUCUUGACACAAUGCCCACUUCACCCGGAAGCCAGCCGCACCAAUGUGUCGGAGGAAACACUGUACACCUGGCCACCGUGUCAGUGUACACUGCGCCCGACCCGCCACAGGAGUCCCUAGUGCAUGAUGAGACAAGGAUAUCCCUGCCGACCAAACCCUCCCCUAACCUGGACGACGCUGGGCCAAUUGUGCGCAGCCCCAUGGGUCUCCCGGUCGCGAACCCAGAAUCUCUAGUGGCACAGCUAGCACUGCGCCACUCAGGAGGCCCAGAUUGGCUGUUUGAUGGGGAAUGUGGUUUGUGACUUUAAUAUAGGAUUUAUUUAGUAACAUAAAUAGUUAUUAGUUAAGGUAAUUCUGAUGAGAUACAAUCAUUAUAGUUUUUUCCAUGAUUUGAAUCCUUCUCUUCUCAGUUGUUGGAUGACAGAUGUAUGAAGGUUGCUUAGGAAGUCAUCUAUAAUGGGAGGGAAAGAGAAUCAAUCAAUUUGCAAAGAGGUCUAACAUUGUAAUAGACAACAGCAUCAGACGCCCCAAACUGUCUGUCGCAUAGACCUACUAGGCCUACAACACAAAACAGCACGUUUAAAGUCAGAUUGUCAUGUGAAAAAAAUAGCACUGUAUUGUACAUAUCCCGUGAUCCAAAGGCUCUCCCAACUCCAACUCCAUCAUCAGGAUAGCCAGCUCGUUGACUUCGUCCAUUUCGCUCCUCCUGGCCGCAUGGAUACCGGUCAGGGGACUAAACACCUCCAGAGGUUGAUAGUUGUUCACCACUAGGAUGCCCGUGUCAGGCCACCGCUCCGUGUCUCUAACUGGAUGCUGCUGCUGCUUCUGCCCCGCAUUGCAAUGAUUAUGGUCCUGCAAAAUUGAGGUCCAAAUAUCCCCGCAUGCAUUGGACUGGUCAUAGAAAGAGGGAAAGAAUCUGGAUUUGUUGACAUUCAUAUUGUUUUCACUUUUCAGUAGGUCAUGAAUUCUCGUUUGUUUGGAUUCGAAAGGUGAAUGCACCUGGUGAUUCUGGAACCUUUACCUGAAGUAAAGCUCCAGUGUUUCUUAAGAUCUUGAUUUUAACAUUCUGGUUGCCAUCUACCAGGGACACUACACCAUCUGAAAUAAAGGCUGAAAAAUCACAGCGGGAAGACUGAGAAUCAAACUCAACGAGUGGCUGAAAAAGCUCACCCUGGUGGUCAGAGGCUGUAACAGGACUUGCCAUCACAGCAGGUUUAACUUGACCUGACUGUUUUGAUUUAAGCAGAGGACAAUCUUUCAACUAAACAGUAGCGACAGGUAUUAGCAUUAACCGGUGCUUUAAGUCCUCCAGACCCAAACUUCUGCUGAGGCCUUUGGACAGAAGCUCCAAAAAAAGGUGACCUAUUGUUCCUAGGAGUAAAGUUAUUUUUAUGGUACAUGUCACUGUUUGACUCAAAAUGGCUUUUAUAUGUUAGCCUGUAUUCAUCUGCAAGGAUUGCUGCAUCACUUGGAGACUUAACUUUACGUUCAUUCAUGUAUGCAGCAACCUGGUCAGACAGAAUUUUUGAACUGUUCUAACACAAUCAAAUUAGACAGACCCUCAACAGUACUAACUUCAGAAGCUGUACACCAACGAUUAAAUGCAGAAGUCAAAUCACGAACAAACUCAGAAUAGGUUUGUGAAUCUAACUUUUUCCUGUAACGAAAACGUUGACGAUAUGCCUCUGGCACAAGCUCGUAGACCUUCAGAACUGCUGAUUUAACUUUAGCAAAAACGUUGCUGUCAGCUACACUCAGUGCUGCAAAACGUGCUUUACCUCACGUGCUUUACCUGUAAGUACACAUUGCAACAACAUAGUCAUGUCCAAAUCUGACCAAGCUCUAGCUUCCGCAAUACGCUCAAAUAAAGCAAAGUAUGUGUCUGGAUCUGACUCAUCAAAUUUAGGCAACAAACAAAGAUUCUGUGAAACAUCAAACUGUGGUAGUCUUUCUGGUCUAUUAGCAUUUCUCCUAUUGCUCUCUCUAACUGCAUUUGCAACAGUUCCCUCUGCUGCUCAAAAGUUACUGAAGGGCUAGACUGAACUUGCACCCUCACUACUAGCAGACUGACUGCCAAAAACAUUCAUUUCCCUAAGACCCUGCUUUAAGCUAGUUUUAACAGUCUCUUGAUGUUUUUUAUCAACAAUCUCAAUCUGAUAAUGUUCAGCAAUUUCAAUUAAAUGCUCCUUAGUACACAACUCUAAGGCUACCUCUGAAGGAACUUGAACAAAACUACUCAAAAUGGAAGACAUUUUCCUCAACCAAUACAACUAUUACAAAUGCUCCAAAAAACACAACUCACCUGCUGUCAGUCUGGGUUCAAGGACAGGAGCCACACCCCACUAUCCUCCAAAAACGACUAACUGGCCCUGGCCUUCGUGCAGUCACACGUGGUGGGGUUUUAUGCACACAACCAGUGGAGUGGAAAAGACAACCAGAAACUGGCAGCCCCCCCCCAUAACCACGGAGGUGCUCCCGAGCCGAUGUAGGGGAAAAGGGAAAGGGAUGUUCUACCCACGUUCACUGCCAUCUAAAACAAAAACACCACAAACCUCCUAUUGACACUCGCUGAUAAGCCUGAACAGUAGAGGACUCCCACCUGAACAAAAACAGAGUGAAUUGCUUAGCUACCAAGCUAACUGAAACAAAAGAAACCAUGGCUCAACGCUCUCUUCAACAAAAUUGGCCCAACCAAAACAUCCCCUCAAACAUUUUUUUUGGGGGGCAAACUUAACUAAACUAACCCAAGUUAAAACCUCUACCGAGUACCUAACCCGGAUCCGGGAGCACCCCCCACCCCCCCCCCCCCACACUGAUUAGCAUCGCUAGCAUAGCGUCACAAUUAAAUAGUAGCAUCUAAAUAUCAUUAAAUCACAAGUCCAAGACACCCAAUGAAAGACACAGAUCUUGUGAAUAAAACCACCAUUUCAGAUUUUUUAAAUGUUUUACAGGGAAGACACAAUAUGUAAAUCUAUUAGCUAAACACGUUAGCAAAAGACACCAUUUUCUUACUCCAACAGUUUUUUCCUGCGUCAGUAGCUAUCACUAUUUCGACUAAAUGAAAAUAUAUAUAGCCACUAACCAACAAACAAAUUCAUAAGAUGACAGUCUGAUAACAUAUUUAUGGUAUAGCAUAGUUUUUUUUUUUUAAAUGCAUUUUUCAGGUAUAAAUCACAGUUCUACAUUGCAGCUGCAAUCUGAUAUAGUGCUGAUGCAGCUAGAACAAUUACAGAGACCAACGUUAUAUAACUAAUUACUUGUCUUAAAACAUUUCAGAAAAAAUACACAGCGUACAGAUAUUGAAAGCCCAACAUCUGGUGAAUCCAAACAAUAUUUCAGAUUUAUUAAAUGUUUUAUAGCGAAAACAAAAUGUAGCGCUAAAUUAGCAUAGCCACGCCAGCCAGAACCAGCUGGGCGCGCCCGACCAGUUCACAUGCACGACAGAUAUAUGAAAUAACAUCGUAAAUUGGGUCUUACUAUUGCUGAUCUUUCAUCAGAAUGUUGAUCAAGGUGUCCUUAGUCCUGAUGAGUCGUUCAAUCCAUUCACAAUGGCAACUUUCCCUCUUCAUUUAGCCUGGGUACUGGUCGACUGGCACGAUUCUGUCCAAAGUUAAAAAACUCACAGAACGGAACACGGCAAAACUCCCGAAAAAAUUCAAAUAAUCUGAUUAAACUAUAUUGAAAAAACAUACAUUACGAUGAUAUGGUCACAUGUAUCAAACAAACUUCGAGACGGAGAUAGUUUUCAUCCGUAACGUCAGCAUAACAAAAGACAAUUGCACCUCUAAAACGCUCGUUUCAGAAAACCGGAAGUUGUCGGUCACGCUAAAGAAAUAGGUCUUAUUUCACGUCAGUACAAGAUAAACAAAACAUUUCUCCUCUGACGUCUUCCUGACACCCAGAGGAAGACGAAUGAAGUGUGUUUCGGGUCAUAGGUGGCGUGACCAUAUAUAGGCAGAGCGUUGAAGCGAGCAUACACAUCUUGCAAUCUUCUUCUUGCUCAGGGAAUGUGCUGUCAAAUGACUUGUGUUUCACUCAGAGACAAAAUUUAAACGGUUUUAGAAACCAUAGCUUGUUUUCUAUCCAAUGGUAUAUGGUUAUAUGCAUAUAGUAACAGCAAUAAUUGAAUAAGAGGCAGUUUAAUCUGUAGAGGCAAUUAUGCUAAUGCGAAAACAGCACCCCCUGUAUUCUCAAGAAGUUAACUACUAUCCCGGAUGAGCCCCCACUUGUCACAAGCCGGCUCAUAGCCUGUGACAAAAAUGAGGGGACACGAAUAACAGGUAUAGGCCAAUUAAAAGUGUUCUUCAUUAUAAACAAAACUAUUAACUUUAAACUAAGAAAAAGGAAUGAGGUGUGGAAGUAUCAUAAUUUUUUUAUUUUUUUAUUUUUUAUUUUACCGUUAUUUUACCAGGUAAGUUGACUGAGAACACGUUCUCAUUUGCAGCAACGACCUGGGUAAUAGUUACAGGGGAGAGGAGGGGGAUGAAUGAGCCAAUUGUAAACUGGGGAUAAUGUAAGGUGUAUGUAAAGUGCAUGGAUGCGUGAAUAUGUGUGUGUGAACAUGACUGAGUGAAAACUAUGUACAACUACAAAGGAACAAACAAAACAUGAUCAUACCUGGAGGAGAAGAGAGAGAGAUGAUUAGUGAAGCAGCAGUUUAAAUACCCUGAGCCCAGGUGACUCCAAUCACUGACGACCCUUCUCUGCCUGCAGGAGGAACCGUCCCCUGCACUGCAGAGGAGGGGCCGUGACAAUGUUCUAAACCUUUUGUUGCAUUGUAAUUUGCGCAGUAGGCUAAACCAGUAGGCUAAGCAAAAUGCUAAAAGGAAACACUUAAAUCGAGAAAAAAAAAUCCUAAAUCAAAUAAAUUCUUCAAUAUUAUGUAGCUUAGCAUAUUUAAUUUCAACCUGGUGGUAGGUCUAUAUGUUAGAAUUUACUGCACAGAUAAUAUUGAGCAGACUCAAUCAGCAGGAACCCCCCUUUAAUUAUAUCACCCUAUUGCAGAACAAUGUAAUAUGUAAUAUGUAAUAUGUAAUAAUGUAAUAUGUAAUAAUGUAAUAAUGUAAUAAUGUAAUAAAUGUAAUAAAUGUAAUGUAAUAAAAUAAAAAGGCUACUGGAGUUUGUACAUUUCAGACUUGAUAAUCCCUUAUGAAAAAUGUAUCAACCCCUACACAAAUGUAAAUGUAUUAUAAUCCACAUAAUAAUUCACAUUUCCUGUUGCUGCAGGAUUCUUUCCCCGCUGUAUCAAACUGGCUCAAAUUCAGAUGCUACUUCUAUACUGCUUGAUUUUCCGUGUUUAUUGAUUUCACCAGCAAUCAAUAGUUUGACAAGAGUAUGAAGAAAUUAGUGUAUUUUCAAAGUAGGUCUACACUAAUAAUUAAAAACACCCAGAGUGUAAUGAACACGAGGGGAGACAGAGAGCUGGGUUCAAGCGCAGGGCACAGCAGGUGUUUAUUGCAAAGGACCACAGGAGGAGGCAGUAACUACAGUCGUGGCCAAAAGUUUUGAGAAUGACACAAAUAUUAAUUUUCACAAAGUCUGCUGCCUCAGUUUGUAUGAUGGCAAUUUGCAUAUACUCUAGAAUGUUAUGAAGAGUGAUCAGAUGAAUUGCGAUUAAUUGCAAAGUCCCUCUUUGCCAUGCAAAUGAACUGAAUCCCCCCAAAACAUUUCCAAUGCAUUUCAGCCCUGUCACAAAAGGACCAGCUGACAUCAUGUCAGUGAUUCUCUCGUUGACAUAGGUGUGAAUGUUGACGAGGACAAGGCUGGAGAUCACUCUGUCAUGCUGAUUGAGUUCGAAUAACAGACUGGAAGCUUCAAAAGGAGGUUGGUGCUUGGAAUCAUUGUUCUUCCUCUGUCAAACAUGGUUACCAUGGUUACCGGAAACACGUGCCGUCAUCAUUGCUUUGCACAAAAAUGGCUUCACAGGCAAGGAUAUUGCUGCCAGUAAGAUUGCACCGAAAUCAACCAUUUAUCGGAUCAUCAAGAACUUCAAGGAGAGUGGUUCAAUUGUUGUGAAGAAGGCUUCAGGGCACCCAAGAAAGUCCAGCAAGCGCCAGGACCAUCUCCUAAAGUUGAUUCAGGUGCGGGAUCGGGGCACCACCAGUACAGAGCUUGCUCAGGAAUGGCAGCAGGCAGGUGUGAGUGCAUCUUCACACACAGUGAGGCGAAGACUUUUGGAGGAUGGCCUGGUGUCAAGAAGGGCAGCAAAGAAGCCACUUCUCUCCAGGAAAAACAUUAGGGACAGACUGAUAUUCUGCAAAAGGUACAGGGAUUGGACUGCUGAGGACUGGGGUACAGUCAUUUUCUCUGAAUCCCCUUUCCAAUUGUUUGGGACAUCUGGAAAAAAGCUUGUCCGGAGAAGACAAGGUGAGCGCUACCAUCAGUCCUGUGUCAUGCCAACAGUAAAGCAUCCUGAGACCAUUCAUGUGUGGGGUAUCAUCUCAGCCAAGGGAGUGGGUUCACUCACAAUUUUGCCUAAGAACACAGCCAUGAAUAAAGAAUGGUACCAACACAUCCCCGAGAGCAACUUCUCCCAACCAUCCAGGAACAGUUUGGUGAUGAACAAUGCCUUUUCCAACAUGAUGGAACACCUUGCCAUAAGGCAAAAGUGAUAACUAAGUGGCUUUGGGAACAAAACAUUGAUAUUCUGGGUCCAUGGCCAGGAAACCCCCCAGACCUUAAUCCAAUUGAGAACUUGUGGUCAAUCCUCGAGAGGGGGGUGGAGAAAAAAAAAACACACAAAUUCAGACAAAAUCCAAGUGUUGAUUAUGCAAGAAUGGGCUGCCAUCAGUCAGGAUGUGGCCCAGAAGCUAAUUGACAGCAUGCCAAGGCGGAUUGCAGAGGUCUUGUAAAAGAAGGGUCAACACUGCAAAUAUUGACACUUUGCAUCAACUUCAUGUAAUUGUCAAUAAAAGCCUUUGACACUUAUGAAAUGCUUGUAAUUAUACUUCAGUAUUCCAUAGUAACAUCUGACAAAAAUAUCUAAAGACACAGAAGUAGCAAACUUUUUUGAAAUUAAUAUUUGUGUCAUUCUCAAAACAUUUGGCCAUGACUGUAGUAAUGUAGUCCGAGAGAUCAGGCAAUAGGUAGAUAACAGGAAAUCCUCUUAUCUCGUUUGGCCAAUAUAGUGAAACUAUCACCAGUUACUAAUCUAUAGUAGGAGGAGAGCUGUUACGAAUAUCACCGAAGGUGGCUCCCCUUCCCGUUCGGGUGGCGCUCGGCGGUCGUCGUCGCCGGUCUACUAGCUGCUACCGAUCCCUUUUUCCCUUUUCGUUUUGUUGGGUCUAAUUGGUUUCACCUGUUCCUUGUUUGGGGUUUUGGGGUUGGGGUUAUUUAUGUUUAGUUAGCCCGCCUGUGUUCUUGCGGGAUUGUUUUGCUGUAUUUUGGUAUAGGAAUGUCUCUGUUUUUGGAUUGUCCUCUGUACAGCGUAUGUGCCUGUGGAGUACAUUAUUUUUGGAGUGUUUACGCCUGUGUUCGGUGUCACCCUCUUUGUGCGAGGUUAUUGUACGGAAUAAAGUGUUUUUCCGAAUAUUGUACGGAAUAAAGUGUUUUUCCGAAUCCUCUGCUCUCUGCACCUGACUCCACACCCAUCACUCUACGCACCGUUACAAGAGCUCCUUAUUCUCCUAAUGGAAAAUAGGACAAGAUCCUUGCCAUGCGACUGACCGAGUCAGAGUGCUACGAAACACUGUGGUUAAAACAGUUAGCACAGAGCAUAUGACGAUUAACCAGUGAUGGGAAAAGUACUCAAUUGUUAUACUUGAGUAAAAGUAAAGAUACCUUAAUAGAAAAUGACUCAAAUAAAAGUGAAAGUCACCCAGUAAAAUACUACUUAAGUAAAAGUCGAAAAAUAUUUCGUUUUAAUUAAAUAUACUUAAGUAUCAAAAGUAAAUGUAAUUGCUAAAAUAAAAAUAUCAAAAGGCAAAGUAAAAGUAUAAAUAACUGUACAUUCCUUAUGUUAAGCAAAACAUUUACGGAUGGCCAGGGGAACACUCCAACACGUAAGCAUUCAUUUACAAACAAAGCAUUUGUGUUCAUUGAGUCUGUCAGAUCAGAGGCAAUAGGGUUGACCAGGGAGGUUCUUAAUAAGUGCAGGAAUUUGACAAUUUUCCUGUCCUACUAAUCAUACGAAAUGUAACAAGUACUUUUGGGUGUCAGGAAAAUGUAUGGAGUAAAAAGUACAUUAUUUUCUUUAGGAAUGUAGUGUUGUAAAAGUUGUCAAAAAUAUAAAUAGUAAAGUACAGAUACUCCAAAAAACGACUUAAGUAGUGCUUUAAAGUCUUUUUACUUAAGUACCUUACACCACUGUGAUUAACUGUCCCAUUCUGUACUGAUCUACCACAAGUCACAUGGUGUAAACUGGAUGAAGGCAUCUGCAAUCCUGUGACCAAAACCCCUCCUUCCUGCCUUUUACUAAAGUAUCUAUAGAUGAUGCUGGACUGUACAGGUGUACAGUACAAGUGAAUAAAGAUAGACGCUACAUCAUUAGCAAUUCCAUCGUUGUAAUAGUAAAAUCUACUUUCUUCAUUCAAUACAAACACUGUCCGUCUAUACCUCUUACCUAGGUCUUCUACAUGUGUAAACUACAGCGCAUGGAGAAUGGUUUUAUUGAUGUCGGGGAAAAUAAAGUAGAUGUUGUUCCAGUUUGGAACCGACAUGUUGCUCGACAUUAUUCAUCGCUUCAAUGCACGUAAAGGUGGUGGAAUUAUGAGGGAAUGAAGUCAAGGUCCGAAUACGGUUUAUCUGUAGACACACCUCCGACACACCUUCCUUUCAUUGAUCACCACCCCAAAAUAAAUAGCGGGUGAAUAGCAUGAUAUUCUCAUGCUCAAAUUCAAGGACAGAAUACACAUAGAAAGGAAAGUGCAUAAAAACAGCUUCUACCCCCAAGCCAUAAGACUGAACAUCUAAUCAAAUGGCUACCCAGAAUAUUUGCAUUGCCCCCCCCCCCCCUUUUUUACACCGCUGCUACUCUCCGUUGUAAUCAUCUCUGCAUAGUCACUUUAAUAACUCUACCUACAUCUACAUGUACAUAUUACCUCAAUAACCGGUGCCCCUGCACAUUGACUCUGUACCGGUACCCCACUGUAUAUAGUCUUGCUAUUGUUAUUUUACUGCUGCUCUUCAAUUACUUGUUACAUUUAUUUCUUAUUCUAAUCUGUUUUUAUUUUAUUUUUAACUGCAUUGUUGUUUAGGGGCUCGUAAGUAAGCAUUUCCCUGUAUUGUGACUAACCAACAUAACCGCAUGUGACUAAUAACAUUUGAUUUGAUAAAAAAAAUAUUCAUCUGGUGUCAAGAUGUGACUUGAGGGGUAAGAAAACAUUGAGACCAUGAAAAAAUAUUAAAGCAAAUAGAUUGUAUACUAUAACAGAAGUAUUUCCUAGAGUUGGCCAGCAGGUCUGGGAUCGAUCAGAGAUGUAUUUCAUAGACUCUCUUUCUUUGUCCCUGUUUGUCUUAGAUUGUAUAAAACACUGUCGUGGUCACAAGGAUUGUGCUACAUCUCUCCUUAAAAUAUUCUAUGUUUGAUUUGGGACAAAACAAAGUUUGAGAUUGAUUUAACCUUUUUGCGUAAUACUCGUCAAAUGGAAGUGUAAUACUGUAUUUCAAUAUGUACAAUGUAUUAUUAUCUGUAGGCUUAGUAGACAACAGAAAGCCUUGACUAAAUCCAGAACACAUGAAAUACAUGUAUUUAUUUCAAGAGGUGUAGGGUCUUUUCAGAAUAGGCCAACAGUAAUGUUUGGAUGCACUGGCAGACCCAGUUUAUGUGGACUCCUGUUUAUCUGUAUCCAUCUCAACAAGAUCAUGAUCAAAGAGCAAGGCAGAUAAGACCACAGACAUUAUAUUGGUUUAGAUGUUAGCAGCAGACAUACGCUUCAUAAAAACCACAGAGGAAGUAGUGGUAGCGGAAGUAGCCCACAGAUAAAAACAGUCAAACAGUGCCUUACGUUGCAUUAGACAAGACAAAGACGAGUAUAGUUCAAUGUGUAUUAUCAGUGAACUAAAGACCAAGGCUCAAAUGAAGACAAUGGAUACAUAUACGUCUAAUGAAGGAGGGAAAGGCUUGGUUGGGGUCCUCCUCCUGCUGUUUGCAAAACAACUUCAAGUUACUGACCAGAAUAUUUCUAAUAUUUUCUUCAAGCUACUUUUCAAUGUUUUUAACAUAACAUUAUUCUCUGAUUAUGAACAGUGUGCUCCAAUUAUUUUAUUAAUGAUGCUGAUGAUUCAUUAUUUAAUGUAGUGACUGCCUGGUGAAGGCUAUGCUAUGUGUGAUGUCCAUUAAUGCCAAGUCAAGUUUUGAGAAUACUCUAAAACAUUUGUUGUUACAGAAUCCAAUAUUUCGCUGUGGUGUUUCAUAAUAUUUUUCUCCCACAGGGCAACAUCCCAUCUGUGAUGACUAUAUUAGAGUGUCUCGGAACACUGUGGUUCAAGCUUUUGUCAUGGAGAAACUGACGAUUAACUGUACUGUAGGAUUCUGCACUGAUCUACCACAAGUCACUUGGUGUAAACUGAACAAAGAUAUCUGCAAUCCUGUGACCAAAACUCCUCACAUCCAAACCCAGUGGAACUACUUAACAAGUAACUCUGGAAUAACAUUCCUGCAUUUUACUAAUCCCUCCUUAGAUGAUGCUGGACUGUACAGGUGUUUAGCUAAUACAGAUCAAUCAAUGAUCAUUAGCCAUUCCAUCAGUGUCAUAGUAAAUGGUAAGAUCAACUUUCUUCAUGUAAUACAAAUGCUGUCCAUCUAUGCCUCUUGACUACUGUCCUUUAGAAUUCCAUGCAGCUAAAUUCCUGAUUUCCCAAACAGCUAUGCAAAUGAGAUGUUUGCCUUAUUUCAGGCUUGAGUGUGCUUGUUUUAAUUCACAGAUUGUCAAGCAGAGUUUUCUGUGUCUGAUGGCUGUUGGUGGAGGGCUCCCAUCCCUGGCUCUGUCACUGUGUCCUGUGGGGUGAGUUUCAGGUUUGAGCUCAUAGUGUCAUGGUGCAGGGAAGAUGGGGAUACCUGUUUACCCCUAAAGGGUCAGUCCAGACACACCCUCACCUGGAAUCAUACAGGUCCAGGGACAGGUGUGUCCUACCUGACCCUCCACAACAUCACCCUGUCUGACUCAGGGUACUACCGUUGUUUCGUCUCUCCUCCUGACUACUUUGAUGUAGACACCAGAUCUAGCCAACCGAUGGGCCUUCACGUGACCAUUUAGUACAGUAUGUUAACUUUGUAUUGCUGAAGUGUCCCAUUGAAGGGUUAUGCUUUGAAAUGACUAGAUAGACUCAAACUGUUCUGGUCCUCUCACUCUCAGGAAAUGGUGAAGUGGUGGAACACUGUGGAGAAGAUGAACAUCCUGUCUGUGACAUGCUCAGUGUCAUCGUGGACAUCACUCGUAUCAUCCUGUUUGUGGUUUCCUCCUUGGUUGUCAUGACGCUGACCCUGUGUUGGGUUCUGAAAGCCAGAGGUACUGUAUGGUGCUCUAGUCUACACCACAGCAUCACUAAAGAAAACACACCACAAGUACCUUGUCUAUUCUAAAGUCUUGUUACAAGAGUUUUCCAGGUCACCAAUGACCUUUCACUUAUCGUCAUAACUUUUUACUUUAUGAGUCAGGAUUAUUUACAAUACUGUAUCACUGAAACCACAGGUCUUACAUGUAGAUGCCUUGCUGCAAAUAUUAUUAUAACACAUUCACUGUGUCAUAUUAACCAUCUUGCCUUGUCAUCACCUUGGUCUAUAGGAAAAUGGAGUCCUCCAGAGGGGAAUUCAGUAGACCGUGCCAGAGUGGAGCCUGAGCAGAACAUACCACCUGACACUGAGAGGGGUGCAGAAGACCCUGAUAAGACUUACGAUGACUGUGUGUGAUUCUGUGUAGAUACAGUAUACUGCAUUGCAAUGGGGUUAUUAGACCAUUCAUUUGUUCUGUUUUCAGUGGGUCUUGCUGACAUGCCUGUUGCUAAUGAAUGACCAGUAAUUUUCAUGGCAUACUGUAUGAUGUACUUUGAUAUUGAAUGGCCUGUUUAAGACUCAAAACAGUGUAUUGUAAGAUGAUCAGAUAGGUUAUAGAUAUGUAGGCUUAGAUGAGUUCACAUCCUGUUUUGACAUUUAAUGUAUUUUUUUAACAUUAUUUUGUUGAAAUAAAAUAAAAUGGUAGACUACCAUUUGGAAAGUAA